GCGUGUGUGAAGAAGGCCCGAGGGUUGUAAAGCACUUUCAAUUGUGAAGAAAAGUUGUCGGUUAAUACCCGGCAGCCUUGACGUUAACUUUAGAAGAAGCACCGGCUAACUCCGUGCCAGCAGCCGCGGUAAUACGGAGGGUGCGAGCGUUAAUCGGAAUUACUGGGCGUAAAGCGUGCGUAGGCGGCUAUUUAAGUCAGAUGUGAAAGCCCAGGGCUUAACCUUGGAAUUGCAUUUGAAACUGGAUAGCUAGAGUUUGGUAGAGGAAGGUAGAAUUCCUAGUGUAGCGGUGAAAUGCGU
rnacentral:rRNA from 1 species